rnacentral:rRNA from 1 species
UACAGAGGUCUCAAGCGUUGUUCGGAUUCAUUGGGCGUAAAGGGUGCGUAGGCGGCGCGGUAAGUCGGGUGUGAAAUCUCGGGGCUUAACUCCGAAACUGCAUUCGAUACUACCGUGCUUGAGGACUGGAGAGGAGACUGGAAUUUACGGUGUAGCGGUGAAAUGCGUAGAUAUCGUAAGGAAGACCAGUGGCGAAGGCGGGUCUCUGGACAGUUCCUGACGCUGAGGCACGAAGGCUAGGGGAGCAAACGGG